GCCUGGGUGGCUCAGUCGGUUGAGCGUCCGACUUCAGCUCGGGUCACGAUCUCAUGGUUCGUGAGUUCGAGCCCCGCAUCAGGCU
rnacentral:tRNA from 1 species